AUUGAACGCUGGCGGCAUGCCUUACACAUGCAAGUCGAACGGCAGCACGGGUGCUUGCACCUGGUGGCGAGUGGCGAACGGGUGAGUAAUAUAUCGGAACGUACCUUAUUGUGGGGGAUAACGCAGCGAAAGCUGUGCUAAUACCGCAUAAUCCCUAAGGGGGAAAGCGGGGGACCGUAAGGCCUCGCGCAAUUAGAGCGGCCGAUACCUGAUUAGCUAGUUGGUGAGGUAAAGGCUCACCAAGGCAACGAUCAGUAGCUGGUCUGAGAGGACGAUCAGCCAACCUGGGACUGGGACACGGCCCAGACUCCUACGGGAGGCAGCAGUGGGGAAUUUUGGACAAUGGGGGCAACCCUGAUCCAGCAAUGCCGCGUGAGUGAAGAAGGCCUUCGGGUUGUAAAGCUCUUUUGUCAGGGAAGAAACAGCAGCUCUAACACAGUAUGCGAAUGACGGUACCUGAAGAAUAAGCACCGGCUAACUACGUGCCAGCCGCCGCAGUAA
rnacentral:rRNA from 1 species